CACGUGAGGGGGCGAGCGUUGUCCGGAUUUAUUGGGCGUAAAGAGCUCGUAGGCGGUUUCGUAAGUCGGAUGUGAAAACUCCAGCUCAACUUGGAGGACGCCAUUCGAUACUGCGAUGACUUGAGUCCGGUAGGGGAGUGUGGAAUCCGUGGUGUAGCGGUGAAAUGCGCAGAUAAUCAGGAGGAACACCGGCGGCGAAGGCGGCACUCUGGGCCGGUACUGACGCUGAGGAGCGAAAGCGUGGGUAGCAAACAGG
rnacentral:rRNA from 1 species